rnacentral:rRNA from 1 species
CACGUAGGGUGCAAGCGUUGUCCGGAAUUAUUGGGCGUAAAGGGCUCGUAGGCGGUCCGUCACGUCGGGAGUGAAAACUCGGGGCUCAACCCCGAGCCUGCUUUCGAUACGGGCGGACUAGAGGUAGGUAGGGGAGAACGGAAUUCCUGGUGUAGCGGUGGAAUGCGCAGAUAUCAGGAGGAACACCGGUGGCGAAGGCGGUUCUCUGGGCCAUUACUGACGCUGAGGAGCGAAAGCGUGGGGAGCGAACAGG